rnacentral:autocatalytically_spliced_intron from 1 species
AAAACGGCUUAUAUGCAGGAAAGUCCUAAGAGUUCUUUCUACCAAGUACACAUAGAAAUGUGUGUAUGGCGAGGGGUAAUGCCUAAGGUACGGUAAAAAGGAAAGAAAUUGGAUGAUCUGCAGGGAAGUACCUAAAUCAAAUUGACAAGGUAAACCCUCAACGACUACCAUAGCCGAU